rnacentral:rRNA from 1 species
UAGGGAAUAUUGGACAAUGGGGGCAACCCUGAUCCAGCCAUGCCGCGUGAGUGAAGAAGGCCCUCGGGUUGUAAAGCUCUUUUGUCCGGAAAGAAAAGCUUCGGGUUAAUACCCCGGGGUUCUGACGGUACCGGAAGAAUAAGCACCGGCUAACUUCGUGCCAGCAGCCGCGGUAAUACGAAGGGUGCAAGCGUUACUCGGAAUUACUGGGUGUAAAGGGCGCGCAGGCGGAAUGGAAAGUCAGUGGUGAAAUCCUACAGCUUAACUGUAGAACUGCCUUUGAUACUUUCAUUCUUGAGUUCGGGAGAGAGAGACGGAAUUCCAGGUGUAGUGGUGAAAUACGUAGAUAUCUGGAAGAACACCAGUUGCGAAGGCGGUCUCUUGGUCCGAUACUGACGCUGAGGCGCGAAAGCGUGGGGAGCAAACA